AACGAACGCUGGCGGCAUGCCUAACACAUGCAAGUCGAACGAGACCUUCGGGUCUAGUGGCGCACGGGUGCGUAACGCGUGGGAAUCUGCCCUUGGGUUCGGGAUAACAGUUGGAAACGACUGCUAAUACCGGAUGAUGACUUCGGUCCAAAGAUUUAUCGCCCAGGGAUGAGCCCGCGUCGGAUUAGCUAGUUGGUGAGGUAAAGGCUCACCAAGGCGACGAUCCGUAGCUGGUCUGAGAGGAUGAUCAGCCACACUGGGACUGAGACACGGCCCAGACUCCUACGGGAGGCAGCAGUGGGGAAUAUUGGACAAUGGGCGAAAGCCUGAUCCAGCAAUGCCGCGUGAGUGAUGAAGGCCUUAGGGUUGUAAAGCUCUUUUACCCGGGAUGAUAAUGACAGUACCGGGAGAAUAAGCCCCGGCUAACUCCGUGCCAGCAGCCGCGGUAA
rnacentral:rRNA from 1 species